rnacentral:rRNA from 1 species
GAUGAACGCUGGCUCCAGGCUUAACACAUGCAAGUCGAGGGAAACGGCAUUGAGUGCUUGCCCUCUUUGGUCGUGGACCGGCGCACGGGCGAGUAACGCGUAUCCAACUUUCCCACUACUGUGGGAUAACCUGCCGAAAGGCAGACUCAUACCGCAUAGUCUUCGACGACGGCCUCAGAUUUGACGUAACGUUUUCUUGGUAAUGGAUGGGGAUGCGUCUGAUUAGCUUGUUGGCGGGGUAACGGCCCACCAAGGCUACGAUCAGUAGGGGUUCUGAGAGGCAGCUCCCCCACAUGGGAGCGGAGACACGGACCAAUCUCCUACGGGAGGUAGCAGUGAGGUAUAGUGUGCGAGGGACGGAAGUCUGACCCAGCCAAGUAGCGUGCAGGAUUGCGGCCCUAGGGGUUGUAAACUGCUUUUGUAUGGGGAAAACGUUAGGGACGGGUCCCUAUUUGCAGGUACCAUAGGAAUAAGGACCGGCUAAUUCCGUG